rnacentral:rRNA from 1 species
UGAGCAAUCUGCCCUUCUCAUCGGAAUAAGCGUUGGAAACGACGUCUAAUGCCGAAUACGACCUCCUUUCGCAUGAUCGGAGGUGGAAAGCUCCGGCGGAGAAGGAUGAGCUCGCGGCCUAUCAGCUAGUUGGUGUGGGUAAUGGCCCACCAAGGCGACGACGGGUAGCCGGCCUGAGAGGGUGACCGGCCACACUGGGACCGAGACACGGACCAGACUCCUACGGGAGG